rnacentral:rRNA from 1 species
GUGCUAAGGUAGCAUAAUCAUUUGCCUUUUAAUUGGAGGCUAGAAUGAAGGGACACACAAGAAUAAUUCUGUCUCCUUCAGAAUUAUAGUAAACUGUUAUUCAAGUGAAGAAUCUUGAAUUAUUAUAAAGGACAAGAAGACCCUAUAGAGCUUUAUCAAUAAAGAUUAUUAUAUUAUACUAUUGAUUUGAUUGGGACAAUCAAAAGACAAACUAACCUCUUUCACCUUUAAUAUACUCACACCCAAUAUUGUCACAGAAACUAGCUACCUUAGGGAUAACAGGCUAAUCUUACUAGAGAGACCACAUUGACAGUAAGGGUUGGCACCUCGAUGUUGGCUUAGUGUAACUAUUAGGCGCAGCCGCUUAAUAAAGUUGGUUUGUUCAACCAUUAAAUCACUACGUGAUC